rnacentral:tRNA from 1 species
GGAUGUGGCUCAGUUUGGUAGAGCGCUGCGUUCGGGACGCAGAGGUCGCAGGUUCAAAUCCUGUCAU